CACGUAGGCACCAAGCGUUGUCCGGAUUUAUUGGGCGUAAAGAGCUCGUAGGCGGUUCAGUAAGUCGGGUGUGAAAACUUUGGGCUUAACCCAAAGCGUGCAUCCGAUACUGCUGUGACUUGAGUUCGGUAGGGGAGUGGGGAAUUCCUAGUGUAGCGGUGAAAUGCGCAGAUAUUAGGAGGAACACCGGUGGCGAAGGCGACCAUCUGGACGGAUACUGACGCUGAGACGCGAAAGCGUGGGUAGCAAACAGG
rnacentral:rRNA from 1 species